GUGCAGGUGUUGAAGUUAUUGGAGACAACAAUUAAGAUCGUGUCAAAAUCGAAGAAAGCAUUGCCAGAUUUAAUUACACGAAUGGAUGUGAAAGGUGCCGACUUCUCCUCACGAAGGAACGAAGCACCCAGACUGGUGCUAAUAAAUGGCACUAACACAAGCGCCUACAUUGUAGGAGACAACAUACAGAUGAAGGUCAGCAACAGUGUGUAGGAGACAACAUACAGAUGAAGGUCAGCAACAGUGUGUAGGAGACAACAUACAGAUGAAGGUCAGCAACAGUGUGUAGGAGACAACAUACAGAUGAAGGUCAGCAACAGUGUGUAGGAGACAACAUACAGAUGAAGGUCAGCAACAGUGUGUAGGAGACAACAUACAGAUGAAGGUCAGCAACAGUGUGUAGGAGACAACAUACAGAUGAAGGUCAGCAACAGUGUGUAGGAGACAACAUACAGAUGAAGGUCAGCAACAGUGUGUAGGAGACAACAUACAGAUGAAGGUCAGCAACAGUGUGUAGGAGACAACAUACAGAUGAAGGUCAGCAACAGUGUGCAGGAGACAACAUACAGAUGAAGGUCAGCAACAGUGUGCAGGAGACAACAUACAGAUGAAGGUCAGCAACAGUGUGUAGGAGACAACAUACAGAUGAAGGUCAGCAACAGUGUGUAGGAGACAACAUACAGAUGAAGGUCAGCAACAGUGUGUAGGAGACAACAUACAGAUGAAGGUCAGCAACAGUGUGUAGGAGACAACAUACAGAUGAAGGUCAGCAACAGUGUGUAGGAGACAACAUACAGAUGAAGGUCAGCAACAGUGUGUAGGAGACAACAUACAGAUGAAGGUCAGCAACAGUGUGUAGGAGACAACAUACAGAUGAAGGUCAGCAACA